ACCGGCGGACGGCUCAGUAACACGUGGACAACCUGCCCUCGGGUGGGGGAUAACCCCGGGAAACUGGGGCUAAUCCCCCAUAGGGGAUGGGUGCUGGAAUGCCCCAUCUCCGAAAGCGCUCAGCGCCCGAGGAUGGGUCUGCGGCGGAUUAGGUAGUUGGUGGGGUAACGGCCCACCAAGCCUAAGAUCCGUACGGGCUGUGGGAGCAGGAGCCCGGAGAUGGACCCUGAGACAAGGGUCCAGGCCCUACGGGGCGCAGCAGGCGCGAAACCUCCGCAAUGCGGGAAACCGCGACGGGGUUAGCCGGAGUGCCCGUGCAUCGCACGGGCUGUCGGGGUGCCUAAACAGCACCCCAUAGCAAGGGCCGGGCAAGGCCGGUGGCAGCCGCCGCGGUAAGACCGGCGGCCCGAGUGGCGGCCACUCUUAUUGGGCCUAAAGCGUCCGUAGCCGGCUCAGUAAGUCCCCCGGGAAAUCUGGUCGCUUAACGAUCAGACUUCCGGGGGAUACUGCUGAGCUAGGGACCGGGAGAGGCCGAGGGUAUUC
rnacentral:rRNA from 1 species